rnacentral:rRNA from 1 species
UACGUAGGGGGCAAGCGUUGUCCGGAUUUAUUGGGCGUAAAGAGCGUGUAGGCGGUUAGGUAGGUCCGUUGUGAAAACUCGAGGCUCAACCUCGAGACGCCGAUGGAAACCAUCUGACUAGAGUCCGGAAGAGGAGAGUGGAAUUCCUGGUGUAGCGGUGAAAUGCGCAGAUAUCAGGAAGAACACCCGUGGCUAAGGCGGCUCCUCUAGUACGGUACUGACGCUGAGACGCGAAGCGUGGGAGCGAACAGG